CCUACGGGAGGCAGCAGUGGGGAAUUUUGCACAAUGCCCGAAAGGGUGAUGCAGCAACGCCGCGUGAGGGAUGAAGGCCUUCGGGUCGUAAACCUCUUUCGAUCGGGAAAAACGGGCUGGUGAAUAGCCAGCUCUGAUGGUACCGGAUGAAGAAGCCCCGGCUAACUUCGUGCCAGCAGCCGCGGUAAUACGAAGGGGGCGAGCGUUGUUCGGAAUCACUGGGCGUAAAGGGCGCGUAGGCGGCCCUGUUUGUCGCGUGUGAAAGCCCCGGGCUCAACCUGGGAAUGGCGCGCGAGACGGCGGGGCUGGAGUUCGGGAGAGGAGCGUGGAAUUCCCAGUGUAGAGGUGAAAUUCGUAGAUAUUGGGAAGAACACCGGUGGCGAAGGCGGCGCUCUGGACCGAGACUGACGCUGAGGCGCGAAAGCGUGGGGAGCAAACAGGAUUAGAUACCCUGGUAGUCCACGCGGUAAACGAUGUGUGCUAGACGUUGGGGAGCCUAGCUUCUCGGUGUCGCAGCCAACGCGGUAAGCACACCGCCUGGGGAGUACGGCCGCAAGGUUAAAACUCAAAGGAAUUGACGG
rnacentral:rRNA from 1 species